UACGGGGGGGGUAAGCGUUGUUCGGAAUUACUGGGCGUAAAGGGCUCGUAGGCGGCCAACUAAGUCGGACGUGAAAUCCCUCAGCUUAACUGGGGAACUGCGUCCGAUACUGGAUGGCUUGGAUUUGGGAGAGGGAUGCGGAAUUCCAGGUGUAGCGGUGAAAUGCGUAGAUAUCUGGAGGAACACCGGUGGCGAAGGCGGCAUCCUGGACCAAUAUUGACGCUGAGGGGCGAAAGCUAGGGGAGCGAAUGGG
rnacentral:rRNA from 1 species